rnacentral:rRNA from 1 species
GGGUAAGUAGGUUGGUCGGUCCACCGGUACGUACUGGUCUCACUGAUUCCUCCUUCCUGAAGUACCGUAAUGCCAUUAAUUUGGUGUUGCGGGGAAACAGGACUGUUACUUUGAAAAAAUUAGAGUGUUUAAAGCAAGCUAACGCUUGAAUACAUUAGCAUGGAAUAAUGAAAUAGGACGAUCGAUCCUAUUUUGUUGGUUUCUAGGAUUGACGUA